GAUCAAGCGUCAAAAGGGCGUUCAGGGAAUGCCUUGGCAGAUGCAGGCGAUGAAGGACGUGUCAUGCUGCGAAAAGCCGCGAGGAGCUGCAAGAAAGCUUUGAUCCGCGGAUGUCCGAAUGGGGAAACCCACCUCUAAGCCUGAAUUGAUAAGAUCAUCAGCCGUCUUCGGGCGGUGCGUGGUCUUAAAUUUCAGGCUUUAUGACGAGGUAUUUUAGUCCUGAAUACAUAGGGAUUAAA
rnacentral:rRNA from 1 species